UACGUAGGGUGCGAGCGUUGUCCGGAAUUAUUGGGCGUAAAGAGCUUGUAGGCGGUUUGUCGCGUCUGCUGUGAAAUCUCAAGGCUCAACCUUGAGCCUGCAGUGGGUACGGGCAGGCUAGAGUGUGGUAGGGGAGACUGGAAUUCCUGGUGUAGCGGUGGAAUGCGCAGAUAUCAGGAGGAACACCGGUGGCGAAGGCGGGUCUCUGGGCAGUAACUGACGCUGAGGAGCGAAAGCGUGGGGAGCGAACAGG
rnacentral:rRNA from 1 species